rnacentral:rRNA from 1 species
CCUACGGGCGGCAGCAGUAGGGAAUAUUGCUCAAUGGGGGAAACCCUGAAGCAGCAACGCCGCGUGGAGGAUGAAGGUUUUCGGAUUGUAAACUCCUUUUGUUAGAGAAGAUAAUGACGGUAUCUAACGAAUAAGCACCGGCUAACUCCGUGCCAGCAGCCGCGGUAAUACGUAGGGUGCAAGCGUUACUCGGAAUCACUGGGCGUAAAGAGCGCGUAGGCGGGAUAGCAAGUCAGAUGUGAAAUCCUAUGGCUUAACCAUAGAACUGCAUUUGAAACUGUUAUUCUAGAGUAUGGGAGAGGUAGGCGGAAUUCUUGGUGUAGGGGUAAAAUGCGUAGAGAUCAAGAGGAAUACUCAUGGCGAAGGCGACCUGCUAGAACAUAACUGACGCUGAUGCGCGAAAGCGUGGGGAGCAAACAGGAUUAGAUACCCCAGUAGUC